CCUAUGGGUGGCAGCAGUGAGGAAUAUUGGUCAAUGGACGAGAGUCUGAACCAGCCAAGUAGCGUGAAGGAUGACUGCCCUAUGGGUUGUAAACUUCUUUUAUAUGGGAAUAAAACGUUCCACGUGUGGGAUUUUGUAUGUACCAUAUGAAUAAGGAUCGGCUAACUCCGUGCCAGCAGCCGCGGUAAUACGGCGGAUCCGAGCGUUAUCCGGAUUUAUUGGGUUUAGAGGGAGCGUAGGUGGAUUGUUAAGUCAGUUGUGAAAGUUUGCGGCUCAACCGUAAAAUUGCAGUUGAAACUGGCAGUCUUGAGUACAUGAGAGGUGGGCAGAAGUCGUGGUGUAGCGGUGAAAUGCGUAGAUAUCACGAAGAACUCCGAUUGCGAAGGCAGUUCACUGGACUGCAACUGACACUGAGGCGCGAAAGUGUGGGUAUCAAACAGGAUUAGAUACCCUAGUAGUC
rnacentral:rRNA from 1 species